UGAGCAAUCUGCCCUUCUCAUCGGAAUAAGCGUUGGAAACGACGUCUAAUGCCGAAUACGACCUCCUUUCGCAUGAUCGGAGGUGGAAAGCUCCGGCGGAGAAGGAUGAGCUCGCGGCCUAUCAGCUAGUUGGUGUGGGUAACGGCCCACCAAGGCGACGACGGGUAGCCGGCCUGAGAGGGUGACCGGCCACACUGGGACUGAGACACGGCCCAGACUCCGUACGGGAGCAG
rnacentral:rRNA from 1 species